rnacentral:rRNA from 1 species
UACAGAGGUCUCAAGCGUUGUUCGGAUUCAUUGGGCGUAAAGGGUGCGUAGGCGGCGCGGUAAGUCGGGUGUGAAAUCUCGGAGCUUAACUCCGAAACUGCAUUCGAUACUGCCGUGCUUGAGGGACUGGAGAGGAGACUGGAAUUUACGGUGUAGCGGUGAAAUUCGUAGAUAUUCGCAAGAACACCAGUGGCGAAGGCGGCUCACUGGCCCGAUACUGACGCUGAGGCACGAAAGCGUGGGGAGCAAACAGGG